UACGAAGGGGGCUAGCGUUGUUCGGAUUUAUUGGGCGUAAAGCGCACGUAGGCGGAUCGUUAAGUCGGCGGUGAAAUCCUGGAGCUCAACUCCAGAACUGCCUUCGAUACUGGCGAUCUCGAGUCCGGAAGGGGUGAGUGGAACUCCUAGUGUAGAGGUGGAGUUCGUAGAUAUUAGGAAGAACACCAGAGGCGAAGGCGGCGCACUGGUCCGGUACUGACGCUGAGGUGCGAAAGCGUGGGGAGCAAACAGG
rnacentral:rRNA from 1 species